rnacentral:tRNA from 1 species
AAAAAAGCCGGGAUAGCUCAGUUGGUAGAGCANAGGACUGAAAAUCCUCGUG